rnacentral:rRNA from 1 species
GUCCGCACUGUAAACGAUGAUUACUCGCUGCUAGAUGGCAACAUUUAGUGGCUUAGCGAAAGCGAUAAGUAAUCCACCUGGGGAGUACGCCGGCAACGGUGAAACUCAAAGGAAUUGACGGGGGCCCCGCACAAGCGGAGGAGCAUGUGGUUUAAUUCGAUGAUACGCGAGGAACCUUACCAGGGCUUGAAAGUUAGUGACCGCUCCUGAAAGGGAGCUUUCCGCAAGGACACGAAACUAGGUGCUGCAUGGCUGUCGU